rnacentral:rRNA from 1 species
GUCGAGCGAUUUACUUCGGUAAAGAGCGGCGGACGGGUGAGUACCUCUGUGGGUAACCUGCCCUAUACACACGGAUAACAUACCGAAAGGUAUGCUAAUACGAGAUGACAUAAGAGAUUCGCAUGGAUUUCUUAUCAAAGCUUUUGCGGUAUAGGAUGGACCCGCGUCUGAUUAGCUAGUUGGUAAGGUAACGGCUUACCAAGGCGACGAUCAGUAGCCGACCUGAGAGGGUGAUCGGCCACAUUGGAACUGAGACACGGUCCAAACUCCUACGGGAGGCAGCAGUGGGGAAUAUUGCACAAUGGGCGAAAGCCUGAUGCAGCAACGCCGCGUGAGCGAUGAAGGCCUUCGGGUCGUAAAGCUCUGUCCUCAAGGAAGAUAAUGACGGUACUUGAGGAGGAAGCCCCGGCUAACUACGUGCCAGCAGCCGCGGUAAUACGUAGGGGGCUAGCGUUAUCCGGAAUUACUGGGCGUAAAGGGUGCGUAGGUGGUUUCUUAAGUCAGAGGUGAAAGGCUACGGCUCAACCGUAGUAAGCCUUUGAAACUGAGAAACUUGAGUGCAGGAGAGGAGAGUAGAAUUCCUAGUGUAGCGGUGAAAUGCGUAGAUAUUAGGAGGAAUACCAGUUGCGAAGGCGGCUCUCUGGACUGUAACUGACACUGAGGCACGAAAGCGUGGGGAGCAAACAGGAUUAGAUACCCUGGUAGUCCACGCCGUAAACGAUGAGUACUAGCUGUCGGAGGUUACCCCCUUCGGUGGCGCAGCUAACGCAUUAAGUACUCCGCCU